rnacentral:rRNA from 1 species
UACGUAGGGUGCAAGCGUUGUCCGGAAUUAUUGGGCGUAAAGAGCUCGUAGGCGGUUUGUCGCGUCUGGUGUGAAAAUCUAGGGCUUAACCCUGGACCUGCAUCGGGUACGGGCAGACUAGAGUGCGGUAGGGGAGUCUGGGAUUCCUGGUGUAGCGGUGAAAUGCGCAGAUAUCAGGAGGAACACCGGUGGCGAAGGCGGGACUCUGGGCCGAUACUGACGCUGAGGAGCGAAAGCGUGGGGAGCAAACAGG